UUAAGAAAAUAUCUAAUAAAAAAUUAAAAAAAAAGUCUUCCCUGGUUACUUAGAUAGAUUUCCUUCAAAAGUCAAAAGCAAACAAAAUGGAAAUAUCGAAAUAGCUGAGAAAGAAAUUAAGGACCACUUUGAGGGUAUUUUCAUCAAGUUUUGAUUGUGUAAAUUUUGCUUUUGAAGAGAGAUAGGAUGCAACUUUAUCCUUGCAAAGCAGCAAGGUUGGUCUGGGUCACCUCCACCUCACUUCCUGUCCCCAUGAUGUAGCCAGAUAUAGGGACAGUGGGGCUUGGGUCGGCAGCAGCUGCACAGUUACUUUGUCUGGCUGGUCAUUGAUGUGUUUAGCGUGUCCACAUACCAAGUUAAAAAACAAAUGAAUCUUGACAUUUCAUAUCACAAAACUAAUCUUCAUAAUCUUGAACUAUUUUUUAAAAACUAAAUUAAACCAAACUGACCAGUGUAAAUUAUAAAGCAAAGAGGAAAACACUUAAUAGUAGAGGAGUCUGGGCUUGCUUUUUUUCAGAUAUGCUAAGUCUUCACACUAAUUUCUUCAUGUAGCGUUUGUAGUUUGUAAAAGGAAAUUGUUUUUCUUGUAAUGGGAAAAAUCAUCACUCCUCUUAUGACACAAAACCUUAAUUUGAAGUCUCCUCUACUGGCCUAAACUAGUUACAACAAAAAUAUGUUAGUAAAGUGGGCAAAGGCCCUUCUUCCAUGGAGCUGUUUCACUACUCAGGAGCUACCCAGAAAGUCCUAAUGGAGGAAGAAGGGCAGGCAUGAGACCGGGAGAGGAGGGGGAGAGCACUACUGUGACGAAGUGUCUGGUAUGACAUGACCUGAACGCCUCUAAUCCCACCUUCUAAGGAGCAAAGUAUGAAAUGAGUUUAUCAGUUUUGGUCAAAGCAUACCACAGCUGAAAACAUGGGCAUAGCUUCCUUUUUCAUUUGGGUAGAUUGGAACACACCUCCCCAAAUCAAAUGGAAAUAGUAAAAUAUAAAAACUUUAUGAGUAUCCAGAUCCACCACACCUGGCUGCCCUAAUUGCCUUCAAGCAAGUCAUUACUGGGGAAGCAAGAUGUUUAGCCACCAACAGCCCUUAUUAAUGUAUAAUAGGGAUUUACUUGUAAAACAGAAUUACUGGGAUGGCAUGACGUCAUAAAGACAGAAUGCUGACAUUUUAGAUGGUUUUAUAUGGUGGGGUCGAAUUAGAACUUAGGAGUGGAAUAUUCUUUUGGUAAUUAAUCACAAUUUGGUAUGGCCUCAAUGCAGGUUAGUUGAAUAGUUUUAUAAAAUUUCUCUCUAUAAUACAGCACUAUCAAAUAUCAUAUUUGUAAUUUUCAGGAACUAUCUAUAGAAGAGAAAAAUCUCUGCUAGUCUGCAGAUGUGCUAAAUAUAACCACAGCAGGUGCAAAUAAAUUAAAUGUUUCAACAAAGCUACUUCCCUAACUUCUAUUAAAAAAAUUACAUUUGAAAAGUAUUAAAAUGCCUGCACAUUCUUUUUGGCAUCAGUGAUUCAAGAAAAAGGAUGUAUUUGUUUUUUUAGAUUACAAACUCAGACCUGUCAGUCUGACUGUGUGAUUAAUAGGUACAGACUUUUACCCGCCCCAUAAAUAUAAUGGGCCUUGAUUAUUGGGUUCAGUUUGCAGAGCAAUAGUUAAUGUGAUGUCAACACUUCCAAUGCAAGCCUUCUUUUUUUUGAAGGGGUUUAUAACUCGACCAUAAAAAAUCACUUGGGAUGACACUUUGAAUAUGAACCUUAAUCUGGGGAACAGAGACGUUUUAAGGAAUAGAUUUAAGUAAUCCAUUACCUGUUUUAGGGUUAUGAGGAUCUAAUCUGUAUAUAAAAAUUCAAGUUUUAUAUGCUUUCAAUACAAAAAUCGUAAAUAAUUUGGUUUCCUAAUACUCAUUUUGUUAGUUUUCUUAAGGACAUAGUCUGUAGAUAGAUAUUUUAUAGUUCAUUUUAGGCUGAAAAGGACAUCUUUAAACACAAUUAUAUAUAUAUAUCAGGAGACGUUUAAUAAAUGAUUCAGUAUUAAGCUCUUUGGUAUUUUGUGGUAAGUAACCACAUAAAGUCAUGUCUCAGUCCUAAUGAGGAGUUCCAAGACAAGCAGGGCACAAUGGCACAUACCCAUAGUCCCAUCUACCCUGGAGCCUGAGGCUGGGUCACUUGAGCACUGGAGUUUAAGGCUAGCCUGGGCAGAUACCCCUUAAGCUAAAAACAAGACAAAAUGGUUUUCCAAGUUAAAAGAAUUCCAGGACACAGCAUAAUACAUAUAACCCUUGGAAAGUACACAGUGGGACACCUUCAGUAAGAAGGUGCCUUCGGGUCUCCUGUAGCCAAAGACGUCAGUCAAAGAUGACUGACUCCCAGUCCUCCUGCUCUCAUGUCUCAAGUGCUGGCGAGAGCUGUGUGCACCGUACCCAGCUAGCUCUACAUCUUGUUUUCUAGUGAGAGAAACUUGACAAAAACCUGCUCUAAGGCUUGUUCCCACCAUCUCCUGAGCACUGAGACUGCAUAAGAGAUGGGAGCCCCACUCUCAGAAACUUGAGACUUCUUUCUUUUCUAGCUGGAUCAUGAAAGGACUGGGGAAUGCUUGACAGUUUUAACUGGCAGUACGUCUCGAAGUUUCUAAGCACAGAACAGAAGGAGGCCAGGAUUCCUGUUGGAAUCUGAAGCCAUGGAUAAGAAGCUGUGUUCAGAACUCAGACUUUUAAAGUGGGUGCCUGGCUGCCACAAUUUACUGAACUUACUGGGUACAUGAAAAGUUUUUAUUUUAAAGUGGUUAUCUUCUUGUACUUUGUAAUGAUUCCAAAGCCCCCAGUUGACCAGGUUGAAAGGGGUGGCUGUGUGUGUUUGUUUUUCCCAUGGAGGAGAUGGAGAGACUCAGCAUGCUGUAAAACCAAUGAGCAAGACUGUACCACUUGGCUCUGUCUGAUUGGUUCAUUCCAUGUCUGAGAUGUGUCCUUACUACCUAGUCCAAGCUGCCCUCAAACACAGCGUCUUCCCGUCUCAGCCUCCCUGCCUAGCAAGACUCUUAAACUCACCACAAUCUGACAGUUGUGGGAUUUCUUCCUCUUUCUUACUCACUUCCGCCUUUUCAGAUUCUAUCUUUUCCCUUUCCCUCUUUUAGAAGGUAGAAUUUUCCCUUUAACGAGCAGUAGCAAACCAUUGGCAGGGAAGGCAUCCUUAGCGCCCCAGCUGUGGAGCACAAGGAGCACGUCUGGAAUCCUUUUCAGGCAACACAAAGUGCUUCAAUAGGGCAGCUCAUGACUGACAAGUAUUCAGCCCUCAUGACUGGUUACAUUUAGACCAUUCCCAAUAUCAGAUGUAAUGAUCAAACUACAUCCGUAACCAUUCUCUCGUCAUUCAAGAAACCAAUCUUUUUGUGUUGUUAGACUUAGAAUCAGACAAGCUAAGAUGAAGGGGCAGUCCACAUAAUCCUGAGGUUGACAGUCCAUGGCAGAGGGUCCUCAGUGAGUUAGCCGGGAUCCAGUAUGUCUUUGAAGAGCUGUCACUGAAGAACCCCAUCAUGGGCUCAGCUUUACAGUGUCAAUGAUUGAUGCAGUAACACAUCAGCUCAUGGCACUGCACUUUAAAAACUACAAAUAACUAAGCACACUGGCAUGAACAAAUGUACCGCACAGCCAACCUAUGAAGUGGAUGUUUCUGUGGAAACAGAGCCUGAAGUUUUCGUCUAUGGUUUAGGAUCCCCUAGCUUGGUGACUGUGGAACUGGCAUGAGGACCCAGAUUUAUAUUAUUCUCAAGUGUAUAGUGCACCAAUCCACUUCGCACAGUAACCCAAAGUCAAAUAGUCAUAAUUACUCACUGUUUAUUGAGUGCCUCUCAAUUGAUGGGCCUCAUGCAGAUUUGGAAGCUGAGUUAUAUACAAGAUGGCCUUAAAAGUUAUGAGUAGGGAAGUGUAUCAGAAACCUCUGACCCUGUGUGAGAACCAAGCUGAGGGGCAAAAGAAGCACCAAGGGGAGCCUGGGGCAGAGCUGUCUGAUCGCUUCCAGAGAUAGUCCCAGACGGGGUGGCUGGGAGGAGGGGCGGUACGUAAAGUCCUGUGAUCUGUGGCCCUGGCACAGUAAGUGAGAAAGUAAGUCUGAAGCACUCAGCAGGGUCGAGGCUGCGAGCUAGGCCUUACGGUUAGGGUUGGAGAAGCUUGGCUUUCAUAGGCCUGUGGGAGACAGGAGAGUCUUGAGCUAGACUGCUACGAUCAGAUUAGCAUUUGUGGAGCUGUUCUUGGGUGCCCUCUGGAGGGUGGCUUAGCUAUGGCUCUGGAGGCCUGGGGCCAGAUGCUAUUGCUGGUCAGAAGCAGAUUCCAGUAGUCUUCAGAUGGAUGCACCUGCUCCUUUGUGGUUUAGCUGAGGGUGUUUUCCAGGAGGAGCUGAAGGUAGGUAAUGGGCCCAUAUAUGGCUCUCAUUCUGGAGAAGACCAGAGGAGGGGCCAGAUACAGGGGAGCUUUCAGACAGGCUGGGGUGAUCUGUCCUGCUAGUCUGAUAGUCCAGUGGAGCUGGAGGAAGAGACUUGAGAGCCAUCACUAAACAGAGGAAAAGAGAGAACACAGAACACCCAUGAAGACAUCCUAGACAAGGACCUUCAUGGCUGGACAAAGGAAGGAGUGAUGAGAAGCAGAGGAGAAUGGCAAGCCCAGGGGAGAGGGGCCUAGGCGUCACAUUGCUCUUAACUGGAGUGGUGAGCUUUUCAGCAUGCGCAUACGGGCACACAUACAUGUGUACACACAUACAUUCACUCACAUGCACAUGUGCUGCCUUGAAGGAGGUGAUCUGUGGCAUGGCCUGUUUGAAACGCUCUGCCAGGUCUUACAUUUUGCCUGAAGAAUGCUUUAGCAGUCUUUAAAAGUUUUAAGUCUCCAUGUACUUUCUCAUGACCAUCAGACACAAUUUAUUCUAACAUAGCGAAGGAGCUUUUAAGUAAUAAAUUUAAUUUCUAGCUCAAAAUAUAGUAUUCUUAGUUAGGGAGAGUUUUGAAGUCAACUUAUUUAGACCCUUAAUGUAACUUACGUCGCUGAUUUAUUCAAUAAAUUCUCACUACUCUGUCACAACCAGGUAUGUACAUUAUGGCCCUUUAUUCUAUUCACUUUGUUAAGAACAUAGAAGAAUGAAGUUUUGAUAUUAUGGGAAUACUGCUGUAUUUGAGCUACUAGAGAUGGAGAAACUUCAGUCUGUGAUUUUGGGGUGGGGGUAAUCUUGAUAGAUUAGAAACACAAGAUUUUGAAUCUGAAAGAUUUUGAAUCCCAAAUUCUCUGGCCUUUAUAAUAUACCAAGUUCCUGCUGUCAGUAUUGCCUAGAAUACUGCCCUAUGUCCUCUCUCAUGGGAUAGGGCUCUGGUUAUGGCUGCAGGGUGCAGCAGAGGUCACUGUAAGCAUUUCUGGUGCUCCAAGCUUAUCCAAUGUCAUAGGCACUCUAUUCUGUCGUCUCAGACCCCUUCCAUGACCCUACAGUGCUGGCUGAGCAUACGGAUGGAUUGAGUAGCUGAUAGAGGUGGAGAUGCUGGCUGAGCAUACGGAUGGAUUGAGUAGCUGAUACAGGUAGAGACUGCAUCGCUGAUGCUGAGCAUCAUCGAACGUUUGUAGAGCUUCUGGUGCUCGGAGAAAUCUCUUCUCCAACCCUGCCCUCUGAGGAUUGAUUCCACCCAUUCCAGGGCUUCCUCUGAGGUGGAGCUGAGCUCAUGUUGGUGGCUGCCCUCCACUUGCUGCUCGUCUGCAUGGCUUUCCUCUCAGAGUGCACUCAUCAUGAGGGGCAUUCAUGCCACAUCUGUCUGGCCCCAACCUUAUCUCCACUGGGUUGCAUCCCAGCCUGCUGUUUUCCCUAUUACCCUGAAGUCAGAGGAUACAAAAAAACAAAACAAAACAAAAACCUCUCCCUCAGCUGUCUACUUCCUCCAUGUUUCCUCCCCUCUGAUCCCUCCCUCCCUCCUCUCCUCCCUCCUUUUUGUUCUUGUUUUUUGACAAAUUCAUACUUUGAUUGUAUUCAUCCUCCAUUUUCUCUUGCUCCUCUCUAUACUCAAAAUGGUUCCACGAAAUUUUCUUGCCUUUCCCACCAAAGCCAUGCAUAAUAAAACACUACUAUACGGUGUCUUGGGGUUUCUACCUGUUCUAAAUGUUAGCUAUUCUAAGUCUAGAGUUCAGGCAAAUGUAUGGGUGGCUGUUGGCUCCUACAGUUUGUGAACAAUUAUUUUGGCUUGAAUAUUUAUCUCUAAACAGGGAGAGGGUGAGGUUCCCACCAGCACUGGCAGAUCUAUCUCUCUUGUCUGACAUUUCCACGUCUUAAAUGUUUUGUCGUAGUGUGAGACACUUCUGGGGGUAUAGAAUUUUUCCUCUUUAAUUUAUUCUUUUUUUCUGUUCCCAAAUUGCAGGCUCUGGCAUAGCAUCAAGGGAGACCUAGCCCACCCUUUGCAUUAUAUACUUAGAGUCUACUGACCCUUUCUAUUCUGACAGUUGAAAGCUGCUUGCCUGAAACUGAGUCCAGCUUCCAGGUGCUAGUUUGUCAUUUUUGAGUAGCAUUGUAGUUUGCCUACCACAAGAGGGCAGCACAGGCAACUGCAGAGAACAGAUGCCUGCAGGCAGAGUGCUGGCAGCAUGAAGGCUUCUGAGCCUGCAAGCCCUGUCACCCAAACAUGUAUGGUGGGCUCAGUGGUUCUCUGUGAGGGGAAAAGCAGACAUGGCUGUGGCCCCCUUAUAGGUAGGUAGACUGACCCUGAAGGCUUAGUGGUGACUUACAUGGCCAGGAAAUGGUUACACAGCCAGCAAAUCCCAUGCUUGAAUCUAAGGCUCUUCUAGAAUUCCCCCUGCCAACAGGUGGGGCAGUAUCAUCAUAGUAGUGACAUAUAUUUAACAAGGUGUACAAAUGUAGAAAACCAUAUGUCCUAUGCCAGCAGUUUUAUGUUUUGGUUUUGGUGUUUUUGUUUUCUUUUUGUUGUUCUUGGUUCUGUGUGUUGAUUGUUUUUGUUUGUAUGUUUGUUUGACCAAGCAUCUUGAGUGACCCCAGUGUUCUUCUGUUCCAACGAGACAGAAAAGGAUGGGACUGCUGACCUCAUACAAACCACCCUGCCUAGUCUCACCAAUCUCUCAGUUGUUCCAAGCUAGUUUAUAUGAAGCAUCUUAAAAAUCUAAGACAGAGGAUCAUGAGAGUGUCAACAAGGAGAAAGCAGGCCCCAUAUCUUUAAAACCCAAUCAGCUCUUGCCCAAGUCACCCUCCCACCACCAGCUGAAGACUCUCCUAACUCUCCAGUCAGAGACCUAGGCCACUGGGUGGUCUGCCACAUGUGGUGACUCACUGGACGAAUCUCAGAUUUACUCCAGGGGGUUCUGCCACUUUUGUACUUAGGUGAUUCUAUCAGGUAAUUAAUUUUAAGAGCGUAUGUUUGUUAGUUGAAGGAAAGAAAAAAAAAAAGGUUCAAGUAGCAUUGCCUGUUUAGGCUGGCUACCCAGGAUUCAUAACUUUCAAUUUGAGACCAGAGUGGGGAAGUCAGUAUGUGAAAAAUAGGUAGUAUCUAGCUGCCUUUUUAAAUCAGUAAAAUAAUUAAAGUCUUUGUACUUUGGCAUACUAAUGUAUUGCACAUCUGCAGAGUUCGCUUAAUAAGGAAAAUGCUUGAAAAAGAUAAAAUUCCAAAGCCAAAAGCAGCUAAUAGUUGGAAAAAAAUCCUUGUAGUGAUUAAUUGACCUCUUUUUCUCUGAAGAGACUAAACAUUUCCUAACCGCCCUGCGCUGGUGCGGCCCCUGUCGAGCUCUCGUUCCCAGUGAUAAGGGCCAGCACCAGGGUUUCUGUUCACCAUUUUCUUAGGUCCCAGUGUAAGGACCGUUGUUGUGUUUAGGGAGAGAACACAAAUAUUUAUUUUAAAAGUUUCUUUAAACAAAUUCUUAGUGGAGGGUAGAGCUCUCUAAUGCACUGCAGCUGGGCUGCUGGCCUUUAAAGUUGGUUGCCGUCUGUACACUAAGUCCUCUCUCUGCAAGUGCUCAGCCCAGCGAGCAUAGCUCCGACGCGUCUCUGGAUACGGAUUUACAUCCCAGGAGCAGGCCUUACUCUGGGGCUGCUGAGGCCUACCUAGGAAAAGCCCCUAGUGUACAUUUAUUAGGAAGUGCUCAGUGCAUAUUUGCAAGUACUCUCUUAGAGAGACAGUUGUGUAAAGAUUCACUAACUUACACGUUUCCUUAAAUUCUUAAGUGAAAGACAGCAAUUUGUAGCAAACCAGAGAAAAAGAAGGAACAGCAUACAUUUCAGAUACCCCGAAUUCUACUUGAAUUUUCUUCCAUUCUCAUGUGGGUUCACGGAGGUGAGAAAGUUGUUAUUUUAACCAGGACUCAGGGUUUACAUCUCAGUCUGACUGUCUGCAGCGUUCUUGGAAUUCCGUCUGUCUUUCCAGGGAGGCCUGUCACAGGGAGAGGAGGCUGUUGUUGGCUUUUUUUCCUCUCCCUUUUCUUGCUGGCUUGUCUAUGCUGAGCCUGGCCUUACCCCAAGUAUAUGGGUGGUAUAUGUUUUAAGUUGAUAUAUUAAUGUUGAAUUUUUAUUGUCAUGGUUUCUGUUCAUACUCCUUUCAAACCUUUCAUUUAUUUGUUUCUGAACCUUGGCUAUCUCAUAAAAAUGUCACCAUUGUGGUUGAACAUUAAGCACCUUCCCAUUUUUCUCUGGGCCGUUGAAAUAAAUUUGGACCAGGUGCUCUACUCAUAAUGGAGCCCCUUGAAGUGCCCUGAUAAUGAGCCGGGAGCGGAAGCUGUCAGCCUUCAGCUGGCUUGAAGAAUGCAAUUAGAGCAGUUUAAUACUGCAGCAGGACCCCAUCCAGUCAAGGCCACGGGACUUGAGACCUAGUCGAGAAACAUGCACUUUAGGCACAUCAGCAUCUCUGCUGCCUGAGCCUGGGAGAAACAGCAGACUCAGGAUAAUAAGCCACGAGGAGAAAAUGCUCUAAAGGUGACAGUGUUCUCAGCCAUCUCUUCUAUUCUGAGGUUGUUAGGACCUUAUUUAUGACUUAUGAUCUGAUGUCACUGGGAUCAAAAUUACCAGUGUCAAAUUAAGUUUUAAAUCAACUAAGGACACAGAAGGCCUUAGACUUCUACCCUAUGAAAAUAGAACAAUUUUUAAGAGCAAAAAAUUUAGAUUCACUUAAAUAUCCAUUAACAUCAAGAGUGCUCAAAGAGUAUAUCUAUAUAAUAUGGAAUAGUAUGCAGCAAUUAGAAAGAAUAAUAUUGUCUAAUUGUUUAAGCAGUUUUAUAUAGUCUUAUAUGUUGAGAGAAAAACUAACUUAAAGUAUGUAUUUGUAUAGGAAACGUUGUGAAGAAGAAACUGAGAUGAGUGAGACUAGGAGGUUGUAUUUACUCUAUGCAAGUUUAAAAAUUAUUUUCCAGCAUUUAACUAGUGACUUCAAUAUUCUUGGAAUGGGAUUACUCUCUGUCAGACGCGUGACUUCCUGUAAGUAAGUAAAGGUUUCACAGGCAGAAGGAGGCGUAGAGGAGCCUCGCUGCUCUGGAUAGUGAGGGGAAUUGACUUGGAAACAGAUCUGCGUUUGCUGCCCAUUUGAGGGCACAGAUGUGGAGAGGCCCGGAGGCUGUCGGUAGCUCUCUGUCCUUGUCUAAAGGAAAGGCAUGUUCUCUUUCCAGGACCACAUCCUUUUUCAUCCUUUACUUCUCUCCAGAAAAUGAGAGCAUAGCCCAGCAACCAUUGUUGCUGUUGUUAUAAACAUUGUAAUAAGCACUCGGCUGCAGGAUCCUUAAAGGAUUCCCCCCUGAGUGGGUUGUCCCAAAAUGCACCACGUAACGCCAUGUCAAUUCAGUCUUGUUUGGGCACCAUUAAAAACAUAGUAGUUUUACACAGCUCUCCAGGCAAGAAUGACCUCAUUAAUGAGAAGAGGCAUAUAACAGUUAAAGCCUCAAACGCUCAUGAAGGUAUUAUUUUAAAACCUUUUAAAUGCCAAACACCAGGCUGUUUAAAUAGCUUGUUUCAUGUAAUAUUUAUUAGUUAUUAAGCCUCAUUUUUGUUUUGUUCUAUACAAAUAGGAAGUUUACUUCAAAUGACCACAGAGAGAGAUUUCUGUUAUCUUCCCCUCCUUAGUUUCUUGGAGUUUGCUGAGUUUGGAUUCCUCUUUGUGUAGACCAUUUCUUUCCCUUUAGCAUUUUAAGAUAUUGAGCACAAGAUUAAAAUCCUGCUUUCCACUUGAGCUCUACUCCACAGCUCAAAUUUUGUAAUUGUUCCUCUGACUGCAACAGUUACUAAUUUUAGCUACAAGUAAGCUUCCUCCUGUGACUUGCACCUACACUCCCCUUCUGGCACCCUCACAGUGACCUGUCACCGUGCUUGCAUGAGAUGACUUAAAUGUCCUUGGACAGGAAAAAGUGCAGCCCAUGGACCACUCCGAGGCACUUUAAAUAGUGUGCAUGGGCUUUCCUAACGCAGGUUAGCUGUGUGUUGAUAAAUCCACAGAAGUAGAGUAUGCCGGAGAGGCCUCCCCUCUGCUGCUCCCAACUAGCCAGAACUGGUUUCCUUUGUGAGACUCCACACCAAUUUAAAAGGCAGAGUGUGCUUGACAUCUGGACUCCUAUUUUUUUUUUAUACCAUGUCUUUCUAAUUGUGUUUUUAAGCUAUUCUUUGUUUCUUAAUCAUCACUCUGUAAGUAUAAGAUUCUCGCAGCCAUUUGUCUCUCUUUACUACAAAGAACAACGCACAAGUCCAGGGGCUUCUAUGCAGACAGGGUGUACAUCUCCGAAAUUACUUCUGGAGAGUAACUGUUCCCAGACAGCAGGACAGUGCAGACUGGAGCCACUUAGUGAGGUGUGAAGGCUCCUCCUCCCUCUGAGGGGAAGCGUGGUUUGUGAGAAUGGUAGGUGCCGGUGACUUGGUCCUCUAUUCGAAGUGAAACCAGAGCAAACCACAGGGGUUCCGUUCUGGAGAGUCAAUUUGCUCAAGAGUUUGCUUAGCUAGGCCUGGGACUCUUGGGUGAGACCUUCCAUAAGACAAUAGGGCGGUGAGCAGCUUGAAGUCAGCACUCUGCUGAAGGCAGGCAGGCUGGGGAGAGCUUGUCUCUGAAGACACUGCAGCGAGGAGAGAGCAAGCUGGGUCUCAGGCCCAGCUCUAGACCGCUAGACCUGCCCUGCUAUGCCCUGGGUGACCUCUUGCCAUGAAGAGUGCCUGUCUCAGGGAGUCCUCUGAUCAGUGAAAUCUAGAUGUCAGUGGUGCUCUACUUUGUGUGAGAGAGUAGCUUUAUCUGCUGCUUGUUAGUCACCUGUCUGUACACCAAAGCCAUCAGCUGGCUGGGACGAAGGGACUAGGCAAGAGAGGCUGGCUUUGUAUUUUCCCUAAAUGUAGGUGGUUUUGUGUCACCCAUAAAAUGUAAAAAAAAA